AUAAUAAUAAUAAUAAUAGAUUUAUUGCCAUCAAUAAAUAAUACAUGGCGCGUCAUAUAAUUAUGUACAUGUAAGUGUAUAUGGGACAAUACAUACAUUUAUUUUAAAUCUGGAGGGUUAUCCAGGAACUCUUGGAUAGAAUAAUAACUCAUUUCUAAUAGUGCGUCCUUUACCUUCUUCUCAAACAGAGCCGGAGCUAGUCUCUUCAUCGGGUCCUGAAGCUUGUUAUAAAGCUUCGGGCCCCAAUGGUCAAUGCUGUGCUGUGACACUUUAAGCCGAUGGUACGGUGUUGAGAGCGCGUCAGCGUGUCUUGUGUUAUGCUCGUGAUAUGAGCCAUUCUUGAUGAACUCGUGGAGGUGGUUGUGGACGUACCUCAGACAGCUCAAUAUGUACGCGGAAGGGAUGGUAAGAAUUUGUUGUUGUUUGAAGGCUGGGCGGCAGCUUUCCCGAUAGUUCAUUUGGCACAGGAUUCUGAUUGCUUUCUUUUGCAGGACGAAGAUCUUGUCAGCAUCUGAUGAAGUACCCCAUAGAAGUAUACCAUAGGUGGCUUUGCUGUGGAAGUUAGCAAAGUAUGUCACCCUUGCAGCUUGGGGAGUUGAGAUAUUCUUGAUUCUUCUGAUACUGAAUAAAGCUGAUGCUAGGUUUUUGCAGGUUUCCUGAAUGUGGUCCUUCCAAGAUGCUUUGCUAUUUAGGUAAAAUCCCAAGAAUUUUACCGAUGUGACGUUGGUGGGUUUUGAAGAUAUAAAUAGUUCCUGAGUCUUGUCUCCAUUGAGUUUCAGUUUAUUUGCUGUGAACCAUUCAUUGGCAUCUUCAAGGAUUUUUCUCAUUUUUGGUUUUAGCGUAUCCUCUGUUUCUUCUUUGAUGCAGAAGGAAGUGUCAUCCGCAUAUAGACACUGUCCAUCCACUCUCAUAUUGAUAGGCAAGUCAUUUACAUAGAUUAUAAAUAGCAGUGGACCGAGGAUUGAUCCCUGGGGCACUCCACACCUUGUUGGCAGAGGCUUUGACCAUUUUUCAUUCCAUUUUACUAUCUGGGUUCUAUUUUCAAGGUAGGACUUAAAAAUUUCUUGCGUGAUCCCUCGUAUCCCAUAGUGUUGUAAUUUUUGUAGAAUCAACUUGUGUGGCAGGGUGUCAAACGCUUUGCUUAGAUCGCACAUCGCUACUUCUACCAUUUCUCGGUUAUCUAGGGCUCUUGUUAUUUUCUUGUAUAGAUCCAAUGCUGCAGUAAUGGUUGAUCUACCACUUCUAUAGCCAUGUUGUGACUCACUAAAUAAGUCAUUUUGCUCAAGAUACUUCAUUAAACGAUUCUUCAGAGCAGCCUCGAAGACUUUUGAAAUUGUAGGUAGAAUAGAGAUUGGUCUAAAUUUGUUGAUGUUUUCUACUUCGCCUUUUUCUUUUGGAACCGGAAUAAUUUUUGCCACCUUUAACUCGUCAGGAAAGUAUCCUUCAAUAAAACUUUUGUUUAUGAGCAUAGUAAGUGGAUUUGUAAUUUCUAGUAGUAUUUCUUUCAAAAAUGACGUAGACAUAUCGUACACAUCUUUGGAGUUUUUGCAUUUUAAGGAUCUUAUCAGUCUUGUGACCUCUUCUUCACUAACAGGCGCUAACCAAAACGAUUUUGCAUUGCUUUUACACGCCUUGAGGAAAUCACAAGGAUCUUUGUCGAUUUUUUUUAUACUGUCUGACGUUUUCUCUCCUAUCGUGGCAAAGUAGAGAUUGAGGUCGUCGGCAUUCAAUUUGCAUUCUUUGGUAUUGCUUGUCUUCGUUUUUGUAUUGAUGAUUUUCCAAAUGGCUUUUUGCUUAUUAUCAGCAUUGUUUAGGAUAUAAGCGUUGUAGUUUCUGUGGUUUUCUUCAAUUUCUUGGAAGUAGCUGCGUUUAUAUGACUUGAAGACCUCAGCUGAUUGUUGGCUUUUCUCAACUCUUGCUAUUGUUUGUAGAGCUUCUAGUGUAUUUUUCAUACUCAUGAUUUUUUUACUAAUCCACGUAGGUCUCUUAUUGAAUUUUGGUUUAUUAAUUUUUUCUUUUCUAGGGAAGAAUUUGUCAAAGGCAGCUGUCAGAGUUGUAUGGAAGACAGUGUAGGCCUCUUUUGCAUUACGGUGUUUGAAGACACGAGCCCACUCAAUUCCGGUUAAGUACUCCUUAAAGUAGUUCUUGCACUGGGUUCUUAAUCUUCAGGACUUGACAGUAGUGAUCAGACAUGCACCAACUUUUUGUCUCUUUUGAGAAGAUUUCUUCUAUGUUAAUAUUUGAAAAUAUAUUAUCUAUGCAGCUAGAAGAAGUUUCAGUUGUUCUAGAUGCCUCUCUCAUUAGUGGUUGCAUACCAUAUGUUGUGAAAGUUUCGAUUAAUAAAGAUUGUUCGACGCCA